rnacentral:rRNA from 1 species
GACGAACGCUGGCGGCGUGCUUAACACAUGCAAGUCGAACGAAGUGGGAACGGGUGAGUAAUACGUGAGUAACCUCCCUCCUUUUUGGGAUAAGCCUUGGAAACGGGGUCUAAACCGGAUAGAUGGGCUCGCGGCCUAUCAGCUUGUUGGUGGGGUGAUGGCCUACCAAGGCGGUGACGGGUAGCCGGCCUGAGAGGGUGACCGGGCACAAUUGGACUGGGACACGGCCCAGACUCCUAAGGGAGGCAGCAGGAGGGAAUUAUCGGCAAUGGACGGAAGGCUGACCGAGCAAAGGCGCGUGAGUGAAGAAGGGUUUCGGAUCGUAAAGCUCUGUUGGUAGAGGAGCGGUAACUAACCAGAAAGGGACGGCUAACUACGUGCCAGCAGCCGCGGUAAUUC